GACAGAGGAUGCAAGCGUUGUUCGGAAUCACUGGGCGUAAAGGGUGCGUAGGUGGCGGUGGUAAGUCAGAUGUGAAAGCCCGGGGCUCAACCUCGGAAUUGCAAUCCCGGAUACUACCAUGCUAGAGUACUGAAGAGGUGACUAGAAUUCUCGGUGUAGCAGUGAAAUGCGUAGAUAUCGAAGAGGAAUACCAACGGCGAAGGCAGGGUCACU
rnacentral:rRNA from 1 species